rnacentral:rRNA from 1 species
GGACAAUGGGAUCGACUAGCAUGCGAGUCGAGAGGGUUCGGCCCUCGGCAGACGGCUCAGUAACACGUGGAUAAUCUGCCCUUAGGUGGAGGAUAACCUCGGGAAACUGAGAAUAAUACUCCAUAGAUCUAGGAUGCUGGAAUGCACUUAGAUUGAAAGCUCCGACGCCUAAGGAUGAGUCUGCGGACUAUCAGGUAGUAGUCAGGGUAAAGGCCUGACUAGCCUACGACGGAUACGGGUUGUGAGAGCAAUAACCCGGAGACGAUAUCUGAGACACGAUAUCGGGCCCUACGGGGCGCAGCAGGCGCGAAACCUUCACAAUGUGCGAAAGCGCGAUGAGGGAAUCCCAAGUGCUUGCUCGUAAGAGUAAGCUGUUUUUAUGUCUAAAAAGCAUAGAGAGUAAGGGCUGGGUAAGACGGGUGCCAGCCGCCGCGGUAAUACCUGCAGCUCAAGUGGUGGCCGCUAUUAUUGGGCCUAAAACGUUCGUAGCCGGUUUGGUAAAUGCCUGGGUAAAUUGUGUAGCUUAACUAUACGAAUUCCGGGUAGACUGCUAAACUUGAGAUCGGGAGAAGCUAGAGGUACUCCUGGGGUAGAGGUGAAAUUCUGUAAUCCUGGGGGGACCACCAGUGGCGAAGGCGUCUAGCUAGAACGGGUCUGACGGUGAGGAACGAAGCCCUGGGGCGCAAACCGGAUUAGAUACCCGGGUAGUCCAGGGUGUAAACGCUGCUUGCUUGAUGUUAGUUGGGCUCCGAGCCCAAUUAGUGUCGGAGAGAAGUUGUUAAGCAAGCUGCCUGGGGAAGUACGAUCGCAAGAUUGAAACUUAAAGGAAUUGGCGGGGGAGCACAGCAACGGGUGGAGCGUGCGGUUUAAUUGGAUUCAACGCCGGG